rnacentral:rRNA from 1 species
GACGAACGCUGGCGGCGUGCUUAACACAUGCAAGUCGAACGGAAAGGUCCUGCUUUUGUGGGGUGCUCGAGUGGCGAACGGGUGAGUAACACGUGAGUAACCUGCCCUUGACUUUGGGAUAACUUCAGGAAACUGGGGCUAAUACCGGAUAGGAGCUCCUGCUGCAUGGUGGGGGUUGGAAAGUUUCGGCGGUUGGGGAUGGACUCGCGGCUUAUCAGCUUGUUGGUGGGGUAGUGGCUUACCAAGGCUUUGACGGGUAGCCGGCUUGAGAGGGUGACCGGCCACAUUGGGACUGAGAUACGGCCCAGACUCCUACGGGAGGCAGCAGUGGGGAAUAUUGCACAAUGGGCGGAAGCCUGAUGCAGCAACGCCGCGUGCGGGAUGACGGCCUUCGGGUUGUAAACCGCUUUCGCCUGUGACGAAGCGUGAGUGACGGUAAUGGGUAAAGAAGCACCGGCUAACUACGUG